rnacentral:rRNA from 1 species
UACGUAGGGGGCGAGCGUUGUCCGGAAUCACUGGGCGUAAAGGGCGCGUAGGCGGCUCAUGAAGGCUGUGGUGAAAGUCCGGGGCUCAACCUCGGAUCGGCCGUGGCGACUCGUGGGCUGGAGCACUGUAGAGGCGGGUGGAAUUCCGGGUGUAGCGGUGGAAUGCGUAGAGAUCCGGAAGAACACCAGUGGCGAAGGCGGCCCGCUGGGCAGUGGCUGACGCUGAGGCGCGACAGCGUGGGGAGCAAACAGG